rnacentral:rRNA from 1 species
GUACACGCUGUGACUAGCAUAUCAAUAAGCGGAGGAAAAGAAACUAACAAGGAUUCCCCUAGUAACGGCGAGUGAGGCGGGAAGAGCUCAAAUUUGAAAUCUUAAAGGGUUUCCCUUUACGAAUUGUAGUUUAAAGAAGUGUUUUCUGUUGAGGUUUUGGUAAAAGUUCUUUGGAAUAGGACAUCAUAGAGGGUGAGAAUCCCGUAUUUGACCUUUACUUUCAACUUUGUAGAUACACUUUCAAAGAGUCGGAUUGUUUGGGAAUGCAGUCCAAAAUGGGUGGUAAAUUUCAUCUAAAGCUAAAUAUUGGCGAGAGACCGAUAGCGAACAAGUACCGUGAGGGAAAGAUGAAAAGAACUUUGAAAAGAGAGUUAAACAGUACGUGAAAUUGUCAAAAGGGAAGCGUUUGACACCAGUGUUGUUUUUCUGAAAAUCAAUUAAAGAACUGUUUAUGCUAAGCUGUUUAGACUUUAUCAGCUAUCUGUUUAGUUUUGAGCUUUUCUUUAAUGCACUUUUCAGUUAACAAGUCAACAUCAAUUUCUUUUGCUGUAAAAAAGCUCGAGGAAGGUGGCUUGAGAUUCGUCUUAAGUGUUUAUAGCCUCUUGCCUAUGCAGUCGGAGAGAUUGAGGUCUGCAGCGUAGAUCCUUCGGGGCUAAAUGCAUUUGUGCUAAGUUAUAGCAUUUUAUAGACAACUUGUUGACUAUGAUUUGUCUUGUAGCUUACUCGCUUAUGUUAUUUUACCUACGCUUAGGAUGUUGAAGAUGUAGCACAUCAU